rnacentral:rRNA from 1 species
AGUGAACGCUGGCGGUAGGCCUAACACAUGCAAGUCGAACGGCAGCACAGUAAGAGCUUGCUCUUACGGGUGGCGAGUGGCGGACGGGUGAGGAAUACAUCGGAAUCUACUUUUUCGUGGGGGAUAACGUAGGGAAACUUACGCUAAUACCGCAUGCGACCUACGGGUGAAAGCAGGGGAUCUUCGGACCUUGCGCGAUUGAAUGAGCCGAUGUCGGAUUAGCUAGUUGGCGGGGUAAAGGCCCACCAAGGCGACGAUCCGUAGCUGGUCUGAGAGGAUGAUCAGCCACACUGGAACUGAGACACGGUCCAGACUCCUACGGGGGGCAGCAGUGGGGAAUAUUGGACAAUGGGCGCAAGCCUGAUCCAGCCAUACCGCGUGGGUGAAGAAGGCCUUCGGGUUGUAAAGCCCUUUUGUUGGGAAAGAAAAGCAGCAGGUUAAUACCCCGCUGUUCUGACGGUACCCAAAGAAUAAGCACCGGCUAACUUCGUG